rfam:Rubellimicrobium mesophilum DSM 19309 genomic scaffold scaffold9, whole genome shotgun sequence.
UCCCCGUCACAACGGCUUCCUGGCGUGACGGGCAGAAAUCCAAUGGAGCA